GUGAUCGUAGCUCAGCUGGUAGAGCACUUGCCUGUGGAGCGAGGUGUCAUGGGUUCAAAUCCCAUCGAUCACCCCA
rnacentral:tRNA from 1 species